rnacentral:rRNA from 1 species
AGAGUUUGAUCCUGGCUCAGAAUCAACGCUGGCGGCGCGCUUAACACAUGCAAGUCGCACGAGAAAGGGGGCAACCCUGAGUACAGUGGCGUACGGGUGAGUAACACGUGGAUAAUCUACCUUUUAGUGGGGAAUACCCCCGGGAAACUGGGGACAAUACCGCAUAAGCCUGUGAAGGGAAAGCAGAAAUGCGCUGAAAG